GUUUAUCCCUUGCUUUGUGUUCCUUCCGGAUGGAGACAUUCUCACUGGAGACUCAGAGGGGAACAUUCUCACCUGGGGGCGGAGCCCUUCAGAUUCCAAGACCCCGGGCAGGGGUGGGGCCAAAGAGACCUAUGGGAUUGUGGCCCAGGCUCACGCUCAUGAAGGUUCUAUCUUCGCCUUGUGUCUCCGGCGGGACGGGACAGUGCUGAGUGGUGGCGGGCGGGACCGCCGGCUGGUACAGUGGGGGCCCGGGUUGGUGGCCCUCCAGGAGGCUGAGAUUCCUGAGCACUUUGGGGCCGUGCGAGCCAUUGCUGAAGGGCUUGGCUCUGAGCUGCUGGUGGGAACCACGAAGAAUGCAUUGCUGAGGGGAGAUCUGGCCCAGGGCUUCUCCCCUGUAAUCCAGGGCCACACUGAUGAGCUGUGGGGGCUCUGCACACACCCCUCCCAGAACCGCUUCCUCACCUGCGGCCACGACCGGCAGCUCUGCCUGUGGGAUGGGGAGAGCCACGCGCUGGCCUGGAGCAUCGACCUCAAGGUAGAGCCCUGUGCCCCUGGAUCCCCCAUGCCACACCCACCAGGAC
rnacentral:sRNA from 1 species